AGAAGAGGGCGGCACUUCAAUCAGCAGUAUAGAAGAAGGUGGCACUUCAAUCAGCAGUAUAGAAGAAGGUGGCACUUCAAUCAGCAGUAUAGAAGAGGGCAGCACUUCAAGCAGCUACUUAAAAACAAAGUUAACAUCUGGGAUCUAUAGACAGGCAGCUUCCUAUGUUGUACUCAAUAGAUACCUAGAGAAUCUCAAUGCACAUUGACAAGCUUGUGUAUGGAGGAUCCAAUGUCUUGGGGGACCUUCAAGAGACUUACAUUUUCCACAAUAAUGGACUGGUAGAUGUCACUAGGACCUGAAGAUGGAGUCCAACAGAAACAAGGACAGAGAGGUUUAGGUAAGUAUAUGUGCCUUUCUCAUACCCCCCCUGUGGCAACCACAGAAGUGGAAAUGUUUGUUGCCUUGUGGGUCCUUGCAAUAAAAAAAUGACCGCACAAGGGUAGUUUCCACUUUAAUGCUACUGCUACUCUAUGGUAGAAGGAAAUACACAUCGUCUCAGCUUCCUUUUUCUCUCUAUUAUUCUCAGAUUUUUAGCUGUAAAAUAUGAUCUGUUUUAAUCCAGUGCCCAAUCUCCUGUAGCAAAGUUAAGCAUCCUGCAAGUAUUGUAAUUCUAAGAUUUUCCCGGAAAAAUAAAACAUUUC